rnacentral:lncRNA from 1 species
GGCUGUGUUACUUUAGGUUGACUAGUCAUUAAGGCUGUGUGUUGUACUAUAGGUUGACUAGUCAUUAAUGCUGUGUUACUUUAGGUUGACUAGUCAUUAAGGCUGUGUUACUUUAGGUUGACUAGUCAUUAAGGCUGUGUGUUGUACUAUAGGUUGACUAGUCAUUAAGGCUGUGUUACUUUAGGUUGACUAGUCAUUAAGGCUGUGUUACUAUAGGUUGACUAGUCAUUAAGGCUGUGUGUGUUACUUUAGGUUGACUAGUCAUUAAGGCUGUGUUACUUUAGGUUGACUAGUCAUUAAGGUUGUGUGUGUUACUAUAGGUUGACUAGUCAUUAAGGCUGUGUUACUUUAGGUUGACUAGUCAUUAAGGCUUUGUUUGUUACUUUAGGUUGACUAGUCAUUAAGGCUGUGUUACUUUAGGUUGACUAGUCAUUAAGGCUGUGUUACUAUAGGUUGACUAGUCAUUAAGGAUGUGUGUUUUACUUUAGGUUGACUAGUCAUUAAGGCUGUGUUACUUUAGGCUGACUAGUCAUUAAAACUGUGUGUGUUACUUUAGGUUGACUAGUCAUUAAGGCUGUGUGUUUUACUUUAGGUUGACUAGUCAUUAAGGCUGUGUGUGUUACUAUAGGUUGACUAGUCAUUAAGGCUGUGUUACUAUAGGUUGACUAGUCAUUAAGGCUGUGUUACUAUAGGUUGACUAGUCAUUAAGGAUGUGUGUUUUACUUUAGGUUGACUAGUUAUUAAGGCUGUGUUACUUUAGGCUGACUAGUCAUUAAAACUGUGUGUUACUUUAGGUUGACUAGUCAUUAAGGCUGUGUGUUUUACUUUAGGUUGACUAGUCAUUAAGGCUGUGUGUUUUACUUUAGGUUGACUAGUCAUUAAGGCUGUGUGUGUUACUAUAGGUUGACUAGUCAUUAAGGCUGUGUUACUUUAGGUUGACUGGUCAUUAAGGCUGUGUUACUAUAGGUUGACUAGUCAUUAAGGCUGUGUUACUUUAGGUUGACUAGUCAUUAAGGCUGUGUUACUUUAGGUUGACUGGUCAUUAAGGCUGUGUGUGUUACUAUAUGUUGAGUAGUAAUUAAGGCUGUGUUACUUUAGGUUGACUAGUCAUUAAGGCUGUGUUACUAUAGGUUGACUAGUCAUUCAAGCUGUGUGUUUUACUUUAGGUUGACUAGUCAUUAAGGCUGUGUGUGUUACUUUAGGUUGACUAGUCAUUAAGGCUGUGUGUUGUACUAUAGGUUGACUAGUCAUUAAGGCUGUGUUACUUUAGGUUGACUAGUCAUUAAGGCUGUGUUACUAUAGGUUGACUAGUCAUUAAGGCUGUGUGUGUUACUUUAGGUUGACUAGUCAUUAAGGCUGUGUUACUUUAGGUUGACUAGUCAUUAAGGUUGUGUGUGUUACUAUAGGUUGACUAGUCAUUAAGGCUGUGUUACUUUAGGUUGACUAGUCAUUAAGGCUUUGUUUGUUACUUUAGGUUGACUAGUCAUUAAGGCUGUGUUACUUUAGGUUGACUAGUCAUUAAGGCUGUGUUACUAUAGGUUGACUAGUCAUUAAGGAUGUGUGUUUUACUUUAGGUUGACUAGUCAUUAAGGCUGUGUUACUUUAGGCUGACUAGUCAUUAAAACUGUGUGUGUUACUUUAGGUUGACUAGUCAUUAAGGCUGUGUGUUUUACUUUAGGUUGACUAGUCAUUAAGGCUGUGUGUUUUACUUUAGGUUGACUAGUCAUUAAGGCUGUGUGUGUUACUAUAGGUUGACUAGUCAUUAAGGCUGUGUUACUUUAGGUUGACUGGUCAUUAAGGCUGUGUUUCUAUAGGUUGACUAGUCAUUAAGGAUGUGUUACUAUAGGUUGACUAAUCAUUAAGGCUGUGCUACUUUAGGUUGACUAGUCAUUAAGGCUGUGUUACUUUAGGUUGACUGGUCAUUAAGGCUGUGUGUUUUACUUUAGGUUGACUAGUCAUUAAGGCUGUGUGUUUUACUUUAGGUUGACUAGUCAUUAAGGCUGUGUGUGUUACUAUAGGUUGACUAGUCAUUAAGGCUGUGUUACUUUAGGUUGACUGGUCAUUAAGGCUGUGUUACUAUAGGUUGACAAGUCAUUAAGGCUGUGUUACUUUAGGUUGACUAGUCAUUAAGGCUGUGUUACUAUAGGUUGACUAGUCAUUAAGGCUGUGUUACUUUAGGUUGACUAGUCAUUAAGGCUGUGUUACUUUAGGCUGACUAGUCAUUAAGGCUGUGUUACUUUAGGUUGACUAGUCAUUAAGGCUGUGUGUGUUACUUUAGGUUGACUAGUCAUUAAGGCUGUGUGUGUUACUAUAGGUUGACUAGUCAUUAAGCCUGUGUUACUUUAGGCUGACUAGUCAUUAAAACUGUGUGUGUUACUUUAGGUUGACUAGUCAUUAAGGCUGUGUGUUUUACUUUAGGUUGACUAGUCAUUAAGGCUGUGUGUUUUACUUUAGGUUGACUAGUCAUUAAGGCUGUGUGUGUUACUAUAGGUUGACUAGUCAUUAAGGCUGUGUUACUUUAGGUUGACUGGUCAUUAAGGCUGUGUUACUAUAGGUUGACUAGUCAUUAAGGCUGUGUUACUUUAGGUUGACUGGUCUAUAUUAUUAUAGUGUUCUAUAUUGUUAUAGUGUUCUAUAUUGUUAUAGUGUUCUAUAUUGUUAUAGUGUUCUGUAUUGUUCUAGUGUUCUAUAUUAUUAUAAUGUUCUAUAUUGUUAUAGUGUUCUAUAUUGUUAUAGUGUUCUAUAUUGUUAUAGUGUUCUAUAUUAUUAUAGUGUUCUAUAUUGUUGU